rnacentral:rRNA from 1 species
AUUGAACGCUGGCGGCAGGCCUAACACAUGCAAGUCGAGCGGACCGGCGGACGGGUGAGUAAUGCCUAGGAAUCUGCCUGUUAGUGGUGGAUAACGUCCGGAAACGGGCGGUAAUACCGCAUACUAUCAGAUGAGUCUAGGUCGGAUUAGCUAGUUGGUGGGGUAAAGGCAAACCAAGGCGACGAUCCGUAACUGGUCUGAGAGGAUGAUCAGCCACACUGGAACUGAGACACGGCCCAGACUCCUACGGGAGGCAGCAGUGGGGAAUAUUGGACAAUGGGGGAAAGCCUGAUCCAGCCAUGCCGCGUGUGUGAAGAAGGCCUUCGGGUUGUAAAGUACUUUAAGUUGGGAGGCGUUACCUACAGAAUAAGCACCGGCUAACUACGUGCCAGCAGCCGCGGUAAUAC